UACGUAGGGCGCAAGCGUUAUCCGGAAUUAUUGGGCGUAAAGAGCUCGUAGGCGGUCUGUCGCGUCGGCUGUGAAAUCCCGAGGCUCAACCUCGGGUCUGCAGUCGAUACGGGCAAACUAGAGUAUUGCAGGGGAGACUGGAAUUCCUGGUGUAGCGGUGAAAUGCGCAGAUAUCAGGAGGAACACCGGUGGCGAAGGCGGGUCUCUGGGCAAUAACUGACGCUGAGGAGCGAAAGCGUGGGAGCGAACAGG
rnacentral:rRNA from 1 species